AGUCAGCACCAGGAACAUCUGCUCUGGCCUUGUGUUUGCUGCCUCUUCCCCACAGCCUUCCCACUGGGGUGAUGGGUUAGACAGCUCCCAACCCCACAGGCAGGGCCUCUAUGCUCCAAACCUGGAGAAGCAUCCUGAUGGCUUUCCAAAGAGCUAUGCUAAAGACAGGCCCAGAGACUAUGACCUGGGGCUUCCACAUCAGGGAUUUCCAGGGGUCUCUGCACAGAGAAAGCUUUACCAUCUCUUGGCUUCAGUCUUUUACACCUGUCUCAAAAAGGAAGAAAAGGCCAUGCGUGGUGGCUCACACCUGUAAUCUCAGCACUUUGAGAGGCCGAGGUACAUUCUCAUCUCUACCUCACGCAACAGUCUUUUAAUCAUCUUUAUGGAUUUCCUCUGAGCCCUCCACAAGUUUGAAGGAACACGGAAUAAGGUCCUGAAGAUCUGUUUUCUGUUGCUGCAAAGAUGGGAGGGAGAAAAAAGUCUUUGUUGAUGAGAAAGGGGAAUAAUGAAGCUAAACAUGUAGAAUAAACUAGAUUUCUCUAGAGAAAAUGGCCUUGGCCGUUCUGUCUUUGUUGAAAUGAGACGCAAGAAGCAAGAGGAGGUACACCAUCUGCUACUUGGAGAAACGAGGAGGCCUCUGUUAUUAUCUUAUGCUGAUGAACGGCCACAGAAGAACAUAUAUUUUUGGCAUCAUUGUAUUAAUUAAAAGUUAUUCAUUGAAGACAAAGCUCAAAAGGCUAAAUUGGGAGAGACAGAGGACACUGGAUGACAUAAUCGCAAUCUUUAAAGAUCCCAGAAAGCCAAACUCAGGCUUUCUGCAGGUAAGGGCAUGCACUUCAGCAGGGACAGAUGCAGUGUCCUGAAUUUCGGGCCCAGACCUAAGGUUCCUUGAACACGAUGACAAAGAUAGGCUUAACCACCAGAUGAGAAGUGACGCAGCAGGGUUUUCAGCUGAUGGAAGCUCUCCAUUUUAUGUCUGCCUCUUGUGAAGAACUGCCUAUCCCUCCCUGUGGUGGGCUGCCAAAUGCUGCCAAAUGCCACAUUUGUUCCAUGUGGAGACUGGGCAGUGGGUGGGGCUUACGGCAAUCUUCAAAUAUUUAAGGAUCUACCCAUGUGAAA